GACGAACGCGGCGGGGUGCCUAAUACAUGCAAGUAGAACGCUGAAGGAGGAGCUUGCUUCUCUGGAUGAGUUGCGAACGGGUGAGUAACGCGUAGGUAACCUGCCUGGUAGCGGGGGAUAACUAUUGGAAACGAUAGCUAAUACCGCAUAAGAGUAGAUGUUGCAUGACAUUUGCUUAAAAGGUGCAAUUGCAUCACUACCAGAUGGACCUGCGUUGUAUUAGCUAGUUGGUGGGGUAACGGCUCACCAAGGCGACGAUACAUAGCCGACCUGAGAGGGUGAUCGGCCACACUGGGACUGAGACACGGCCCAGACUCCUACGGGAGGCAGCAGUAGGGAAUCUUCGGCAACGGACGGAAGUCUGACCGAGCAACGCCGCGUGAGUGAAGAAGGUUUUCGGAUCGUAAAGCUCUGUUGUAAGAGAAGAACGAGUGUGAGAGUGGAAAGUUCACACUGUGACGGUAUCUACCA
rnacentral:rRNA from 1 species